rnacentral:rRNA from 1 species
UACAGAGGGUGCGAGCGUUGUCCGGAAUUACUGGGCGUAAAGAGCUCGUAGGUGGUUUGUCGCGUUGUUCGUGAAAACUCACAGCUUAACUGUGGGCGUGCGGGCGAUACGGGCAGACUGGAGUACUGCAGGGGAGACUGGAAUUCCUGGUGUAGCGGUGGAAUGCGCAGAUAUCAGGAGGAACACCGGUGGCGAAGGCGGGUCUCUGGGCAGUAACUGACGCUGAGGAGCGAAAGCGUGGGGAGCGAACAGG